GCCUUCUGCUGAAUGCAGCCUGAGGCCAAGCAAUGCUGGGAGUGCUCAAGUACAUGUGAAGGAAAGAGUGGAGCUCUUGGGAGAGAGGUCAGGGUGGUGGCCUUCCCAGGCUGAGCACAUGGAGAGCUGCUUUGUCCUGCCUUACAGGAAGACCAUACAGAUGACAUCUACUUCAUUCACCUGGAAAAAUUUGUGCUGCAGACUGGACAGAACAUAUUAAAAAGCAAACACUUCAGACCUAUGUUUGUGAAGAUAACAAACGCAGAACUGCCAACUAAAAUAUCCGAGUCAUGAUCCUGUUAUAAGAGCGGGACUCCCGGCUGGCUCACGCAGCAGGCACAGCAAUCCUGCGGGCACUGGAGCGGUGCUGGCAGAUUUCAGGACACAGCCCGCAGCCCCCAGCGAUUCCUGACCCGUCUGCAGCCCUCCUCUCCCAGCACAGACCUCGGCGCUGCUCCUGGAAACACCACAGAGCCAAAGAAAAGCAGCUGUGCGCAUUUUAACGCGGAUCUCUUCCAAAUGGAUCGAGCCCUGCUUUCCACUGAGACGCAAGCUAAGCAGUUCCAAGACUUAAAAAACCAAAGCAAAACAACAGAUACCCUU